rnacentral:rRNA from 1 species
UACGUAGGCAGCGAGCGUUGUUCGGAGUUACUGGGCGUAAAGCGUGCGUAGGCGGUGUCUUAAGUUUGUUGUGAAAUCUCCCGGCUCAACUGGGAGGGUGCGGCGAAUACUGAGAUGCUGGAGUGCGGGAGAGGUAAGCGGAAUUCCUGGUGUAGCGGUGAAAUGCGUAGAUAUCUGGAGGAACACCGGUGGCGAAGGCGGCAUCCUGGACCAUUACUGACACUGAAAAGCGAAAGCCAGGGGAGCAAACGGG